GGUUAUUGCUAUUCGAAUCCGACUUAGCCAUGCGAGUUUUUGCCGCAAGGCAAAGCGAAUUGCUCAGUAACACGUAGUUAAUCUGCCCUUGGGUCUGGAAUAAUCCUGCUAAAGUGGGGCUAAUACCAGAUGGAUGCCUUUUCCUGGAAUGGUUUGGCAUUGAAAGCCUCGGCGCCCAAGGAUGGGACUGCGGUCGAUCAGGCUGUUGUGAGGGUAAAGUCCUCACAAACCUAUAACCGAUACGGGCCAUGAGAGUGGGAACCCGGAGAUGGAUUCUGAGACAUGAAUCCAGGUCCUACGGGACGCAGCAGGCGCGAAACCUUCGCAAUGUGCGCAAGCACGACGAGGGGAUUCGAAGUGUUAUGGCAUUUUGUGCUGUAACUUUUCCCAAGGUUUAAUCCCUUGGGGAAUAAGUGGUGGGCAAGACGGGUGCCAGCCGCCGCGGUAAUACCUGCGCCACAAGUGAUAGCCAUGUUUAUUGGGCCUAAAGUGUCCGUAGCCGGUUUAGUAUGUUCCUGGUGAAAUCUGACAGCUAACUGUCAGGCGUGCUGGGAAAACUGCUGGACUUGGGACUGGGAAAGGGUAGGAGUAUUUCUAGGGUAGGGGUAAAAUCCUGUAAUCCUAGAAGGACUACCAGUGGCGAAGGCGCCUACCUGGAACAGAUCCGACGGUGAGGGACGAAAGCUAGGGGAGCAAACGGGAUUAGAUACCCCAGUAGUCCUAGCUGUAAACGAUGUGAACUUGGUGUUACCGGUUCUACGGGAACUGGUAGUGCCGAAGCGUAGGUGUUAAGUUCACCGCCUGGGUAGUACGACCGCAAGGUUGAAACUUAAGGGAAUUGGCGGGGGAGCACACAAGGGGUGUAGGCUGCGGUUCAAUUGGAUUCGACGCCGAACAUCUCACCAGGAGCGACAGCAGUAUGAAGGUCAGUCUGAAGGGCUUACCUAACGCGCUGAGAGGAGGUACAUGGCCAUCGCCAGCUCGUACCGUGAGGCGUGCCGUUAAGUCGGUUAACGAGCGAGACCCAUGUCCUAUGUUGCAACCUCAUUCUGCGGAGUGAGGGCACUCAUGGGAGACAGCUGUUGAUAAAACAGAGGAAGGAAUGGGCAACGGUAGGUCAGUAUGCCCCGAAUCUCCCGGGCUACACGCGGCCCUCAAUGGGUAGUACAAUGGGAUGCGACUCCGAAAGGAGAAGCUAAACCCCUAAAACUACUCUCAGUUCGGAUCGAGGGUUGUAACUCACCCUCGUGAAGCUGGAAUCCCUAGUAAGCGAAAGUCACUAUCUUUCGCUGAAUACGUCCCUGCUCCUUGCACACACUGCCCAUCAAGCCAUCCGAGUGGGGUUUAAGUGAGCCUUUCCAAUAUUGGGAAAGUCAAACUAAUUCUCCGCAAGGGGGGCU
rnacentral:rRNA from 1 species